CGCCCAACAAGAAUCAUAGGGAAAAACUAAAGUAUCUUUGUAUGUGUGUGCAUUUGUGUUGCUGGGAAUUGGAUUCAGGGCCUCAUGCUACCACAAAGAUAAAAAAAAUCAACUGUCAAUAUAACACAUUAUUAUAGUUGUACAUAAAUAUAUUUUAUGAAGCAAAUCUAUGUGCCUUAUCUUCUUCAAUUCUAUUAACACCUAUUUUUACCUUAGAAUCCCAACACAACUCUCACCUUGACUUUUUUCCUUUACUUUUAUUUGAAAUAGAGGUUCUCAGAUAAAAUAUGGCUGGAAUUUCAAUUUCAGGUGCAGAGUGAGGAUGGGCAAUGACCACAUUUAGAUCCGUAUCUUAGGCUUUGUGUUCUGUGUUCUGAACAAUUGAAUUAACAUCAACUCUGUGUCCCUCAUUGAAAACAGAUGUUGAAUCAGGACAGUGUGGAUAUUUAUCACUGUGAAAAAAAUACGUAUAAGGUAAGCAAUUCAGAUAACAUUAGAAAACUACAACAAACCAGGUGCUCCUAUUAUUUAUAGGGUGUUUUGAGAACAUCAAAAAGCGGGGGACAGAGCUCGUCCCCUGGGAAUGCAGUUGAAGGACAAAAGAGGAAACAGACUAAAUAAACACAUCAGAAAAAAAAAAAGCGAGAAGGAAGGGGGCUUCUCAAAUGAGAUAUUGCUGGCUUCAGUUUCAUUUCUCUUCCCUCCUUGAGCCAUCUCUCAUGCUUUCUCCUAGGGAGAGAAUUUUAUUAGGGGACCGCAUUCAAGAGAUUUGGCAAAACAUAAUUUUGAAAACAAAUUUGCAAGAGAGGGAUUUUGCUGAAAAAAAGCCUAAGAGAAAUAUGUUCUUCACAUAUAAGGAGCAGCCUAAGAAGAUUUAUAGGGAGAAAGGGAAUAUCAAGCCUGAAGAAAAUGAAGAAAAGAAUAUAUAUGGGCAAUACAGGAACAAAAUUUGACUAAGACAAGGGAAAGAAGGGACUUUAAGGCAGUUAUGAUGCAUAACGUAGUGUUAUAUUUUUAUUUACUAACAAUUCAGACUUAUACAGCUCUCAUGACCCAAGUUUUCUCUUCCAUAGCAGAAGAAAAAUUGCUCAGGAAGCUGUAAACAGAAGCUGUUGUUCUUGCCCUGCUAGGUGUCUUCUCCAUCUUCCUCUUCAGCAAUUUGUAGCUGUUUGAGUUCAGCACGGAGAAGUUAAUACGUCAGACCUCCAGUGGAGAUUUGAAGAUGGAAUCCAGAGGAGCAGUCAUGAAGAAGAUGAAGAAGAGGAGAUUCAGGAGGAAUAGGGGAGAGGUCUUGGUGAUAGAUGCAAAUCAUGUAAAAGAAAGAGUUAAUCCAUCCAACAAAUUCUCAUUGGUCUGAGCAGAGUUCUGGUGCCAUGUGUGGCCACGACAAUGUACAAGAUGGUCACGGUCUCUGCGCUGGUAGGACCUGCACUCUGGCAAGGGAAGAAAAUAAUCUAAAUAAAUAAUAAGGUAAGCUGGGGCU